UACGUAGGUGGCAAGCGUUGUCCGGAAUUAUUGGGCGUAAAGCGCGCGCAGGCGGUCCUUUAAGUCUGAUGUGAAAGCCCACGGCUCAACCGUGGAGGGUCAUUGGAAACUGGGGGACUUGAGUACAGAAGAGAAGAGUGGAAUUCCACGUGUAGCGGUGAAAUGCGUAGAGAUGUGGAGGAACACCAGUGGCGGAAGGCGACUCUUUGGUCUGUAACUGACGCUGAGGCGCGAAAGCGUGGGGAGCAAACAGG
rnacentral:rRNA from 1 species